rnacentral:rRNA from 1 species
CCAGCUCCAAUAGCGUAUAUUAAAGUUGUUGCAGUUAAAACGCUCGUAGUUGGAUUUCUGUUCUCGCUGCGCGUGCCGCCCUCUGGGCGCGUGCGUGUGUGCGUGAGCAUCCUGCGGUCAGCCCGUCGGCGGCCUUCACUGGUCGUCGGCGUGGCUCCGCACGGUUACUUUGAAAAAAUUAGAGUGUUUAAGGCAGGCGUUCGCUUUGAAUACAUUAGCAUGGAAUAACGAAGAUGGACUCAGGUUCUUCUUUGUUGGUUCAGAGGGCCCGAGUAACGAUUAAUAGGGAUAGUUGGGGGCAUUCGUAUUUAAUUGUCAGAGGUGAAAUUCUUGGAUUUGUUAAAGACGAACUACUGCGAAAGCAUUUGCCAAGGAUGUUUUCA